GAAAAUGUCCUACCCUGGAUGGCACCUACGCUGGCAGCGCAUCAACCCGGACCGACAACGACACGAACCAAAUGAACUGGGCGGCACGGACUCUUUUGCCGCCGGGUAAAGGAAGAGAUGGGAAUAGCGGAGUUCAGCGGCCGGCGGCUUUCCUCGUCCGAACCGUACAUCACCUCCUCGUCCGAGUCGUUGAUCAUCGAGAACGUUGGAUUAUCCUUCGCUAUGAUCGGUUCUGCAAGGGCACCAUGUGGAAAAUAGAGAGAGGCGUGCUAUUUUGCGUGUGAGCAAAGAGCCGACAAGCUUACCGUGCACGGCCGGACCGCUCGGCGAGUAGACGUAGGCCAUCGCGUACAGAUAGAAGUUCAGCAAACCGUAGAAGCACAUAAACUGGGCCGAGCUUUUGUAGCUCGUGUACAGCUGCGCAAUGAAGUUGUCUUCGAGCGUGUCGAAGCCGAAAUGUUGCAUCGUGACGAUCAGCGAAAUUGACAGCACGAUCAGCAUCAGCAGGGUGAGGAUUUUUAGUCGCAUAUCUGCAUUUGAAACAAAAAAACGAACGCGGUGAACAGUUUUGAAAAUGCAGGAUGAACCCCCUUCCCCCUUCCUUACCGAAAUAUGGCAUCGAUCGGAGCUCGGAGUACGCCUUCAGCAUCAGCAGUCCCAGAUAGAGUCGGUUUCCGCUCCCGCCGACGUACGUUAUAGUUUUCCGAGUCCUCGAAAUGGCUGUACGUUGGGUCGUUCAGCUCAUCGCACUUCUCCCAGAUGCCGAGCACCACGGCGCACAGCCAGAUCGGCAGCACGACGAUCAGCUUCGGCAGGUAGAAGGUAAGCAGCUUGCGCUCGUUCUGCCGCAGCCCGUGGUACACGCACAGCCAGAACAUGAGAAUGCCGCAGAGGAAGGUGGUCUGGAGCAGGGCGUCGAUCAUGCCCGGCAGCCAGCUGUUCGCGAUGAAGAUGAGCGGAAACAGCGGAUCUGUAACGGGAAAGGGAGUUUGAAUGUGAAUGGUAGCAUCGCCGCCACCUUUUGAUGCUUUUCAGUGGUUCAUUUCAAUAGCAAGCAUGACUGCUACUACGUCCAGUUUCUUUUUAGCUACUUUAAAACAUGUAAAACAUGCUAUCAGGCUACUAAAAGCGCAACCAAUGCUGCAAAAUUUCACUGUCAAUGUCAUAAUACUGACUGAAACAAAAUCUAUUUUAGCGUCACGUACUCAAUUGUGAUAAUCAGAGAUAAUGCUCAACAAGUUGUUGUGUUCAAUACAUUCUUCGUGACAUUUUUGCGACCAACGCUUGGUCAGUCACUGUGUGAUGACUUUUUUUUUACUGUGAUCAGUUCUGCAAAAUCUCACUGACAUAGUCAUGACUAAUUCCGACUGAAACAAAAUCAUGUCAGCGUCACGAGGAUCACACACGAGGAUGUCAUCAUAGGAGAGGAUCAGAGGUGAGACCAUCACAUGCUUGGUGACAUUUUGUGCUCAUUCAAUUGGUCGCGACAUUUUCUGUCGGUGUACAUCACAAUAGUCAUGGAUAUGCGAUGCGUGCGAGUGGUUUUAAGAAACAAAAUGAGCAUGGUUUCUCGCUCUGUUUGACUCGACAGUCCACCAGACAGAGACAACCAGACAGAGCGAGAAAGCAAGCAUUUUGCUGUGUGGGACCGCGCGCCAAGUAUAUUCCAAGCUUGUCGUGAUUAUCAUUGGGAGAAAAUGUCAUGACCAAGUGAGGGACCAAGAGUUAAUUGCUAUAAAAAAUGUCACCAAGCAUGUGAUUGGUUCACCAGCUGUUUGAGUCUCACCACUGAUCAUCACAGUUUUGUACGUGAGCUGAUUUGAUCUUCGUUUCAGGCAUGAGAGUUGGUGAUUGAAGCAGUGGCAUGUGACAGCACUGUUCACAGCCAUAAAAAAGUAAUGAUUAUGCUUGCGCCGGCAUAGUCAGUCAGAGUAUCCCGUUGGACACAAGCAUUCGCAUUUAGCGCUCGGCAUGUCAUGACGCACUUUCAUGGAGUUUCGGCAACGAACAUCAAGUUACCACAUCAAGCUGAUGGUCGUGACAUUUUGCAGCAAUGAGUACAACCAAGGUUACCCGAAGCAACGUACAUAAUCGAGACGAAAAAAAGUGUACGUACUGUUAAACAGCAGCAGCAGCGGCAACAGUAUCGAGAGCCACUUCUGCUCGAUCGACCAGUCGCCCAUCGGGUACUUCCGCAGCGUGUGAGCAAACCAGCACGUGAUGAUGAACGUGAACAGCACGAAGAUGAACCGGAACCAGAUCUCGAUCUGCGUGAACGCGGGAUUGUACGACUUGAAGUAGAACUGCACGGUCCGGAUGUUGUACCGCUGGUGGAACGCCUCCAGCCCGUAGAACUGCACCGUCACGAUGUAGUGCGCGUAGUCGAGGAAGCCGAUGUGCAGCACGGUAAACUCGUCGCACUCCUCGUAGCUGCAGGACAGGUGGCGGGUGCGGUUCCGCACGUCCGUGCCGCCAUUGUGCGCGCCGCCGUACACCGGCAUCGGCUUGUGGUCGACUGUCAGCCCCUCGAUCUGCACGCUCAGGUGGAACUUUUUGUCCACCAUCUCGUCGUCCGUGUUGUCGGUCGUCAGCUUGGCAAUGAUCCACAGCUGCUGCGAGUAGGUGGUCAGCAGCGGGGUGCGCAUCACAAACGGGCCGCGGGCCAGGUAGGCGCCCGGUGCCCCGUCGCCGGCCGCCGCCGCCACCGUGCCGUUCGGCUGCAGCGAGCCGCCGCUCACCUUGCUCAUCACCGUGAUGGGCGGGCCGGCCAGCCCGAUGAAGAUGCCGAGCCCGAAGCAGGCGAAAAAGGCUAGGAAGACGGUCGCGAACUCGCGCUUGUUCAUCGAGUACAGCCGCAUGUGGACGGACCGCUCGCACCGGUCGUGAUGGUACGCCGGGGCGAUGUAUUUGUUGAACUCGCUGAACAGAUCGCUGAACUGGGCGAGACUCUGGCGCAACCGGAGGCACAUCCCGGCGGGCGUGACGUACGAGUAGCCCAGCUUGGACGCAUCCUCCGGCGGUUUGGACGCGCUGGAGGCAGCCAUCGUACCGACCUGCCUAUUGUUCGGUUGGUGGUGGUGGCGGUGGUGGUUGCUGCGGUUGAUUGGGUUUGAGCCCGGUGGUGCCCGAUUCCGAUGCCGUCUGGCGCACUUUGGGGCAGCUACUGCGGGCAGCGCAAGGUACGAGCGACACCGUACCGUGUUGACAUAUGUUAAAUAUGUUGAUGUUGAGCCGUGCCAGCCCGCACUGCCGCCUCGGCUCGCACUCGGCUCUCAAAAAUAAUGAUUUGCGCCUCCUUACACGUAUGCCAUCGGUCGAGGCUGUGAAAACAGUGCCGUUUUUUGGGGUUUCGGGCGCGUGUUACACUUCACUUCACGUUGCAGUAUUCUACCUUUUUCGUGGGCUAAUGAUUUUCGACGUCGCAAUUAGUUCACAUUAUCUGCCUAGAAAGGGAGAGGGUGCACAAUCACACACACACACACAUACAGAUGCACACGCGGGAUGAGAGCCACUGUUUUGUGUUGCACUGUGUCCUCUGUCCGAGCGAAACCCCGUGGUCGCUUCGGAUACUCCUAACGCGGAGCAUGCGCAUUCCCUAUAGAGCCCACAGAAGAGGGGAAAAAAUCGAGGAACGCUUGCAUGCGUGUGACAAGCGAAAAUGUAAACUUGCUGUAACACUGUUGUUGUGGAAUUAUGUGGAAUGUACGUUACAUGGUAUCAAGAAGCGAUGGAUGAUUUGUAAAAUUAUAAGAACAGCUUGUAAGUCUACCAUUAAUUUAUUAUAAAUGAAACAAAAUGUACAACACACAGACAGGCGACACACUGCAGUGGCAUUUAUUUAUCGAUUUAGUGUUUGAAUUGAUCAUUUUCGAGCAGUCAGUGCAAACUUUAGUAUCUCAAAGCACAAGCGGGCGAACAGUGAAAGCUUGCAGUAGACUGCUCGAAAUCAAUUUUUGAAUUGAAGCUUUUGGCUUCUCACUGUUGAAGCUUAAAAAAAACUAGAAGAAAACUUGAAAAAGCGAAUGUGAAAAAACAGAUGAUAUUUCCUUUUCUUUCUGUAUUAUGUAUAGCGCAACGUCAAUAGUAAACAGUAAAGAAAAAAGCUCUUAGUAUCUGCUGAUGUAUGAAAGGAUACAUAGACACAGGGGUUGAAAUUGAAAUACAAUCUAGCAAGUAAUCAAAACUGGCAAAAAUGUGGCUGUGUUGAAAACAAUCAACUAAAAUGAUGAUGCUAGAGAAAGGUAAAACUGGAAGCUAUUCUGCAAAAUUGUAGAAGGGCUUGAAAUUUAUGUAAAGCCGUUCGAAAGUUUAGUAAAAGCAAAAGUUUAAAUACACAACUAUCAGGGGUUAAAAUUCUCUCUCUCUCUUUCUCUCUCUCUCUCUCUCUCUCUCUUUCUCUCUCUCUCUCUCUUGUUGUUCUGCUCACUAUGGAGCAUGUCGCCGUGACAUGCCCGGCCAAGGUCUCGCUUCACACCUUCUUGGAGGGGCAUGAGUCCGGCAUCCUCAUGGCAUGCCCUAGCCAUCGUAUCCUGCCAGCGUUCGCCACCGUCAGGAUGCUUGGUUCGCCGUAUAUCUCAGCAAGAUUGUGGUUUAUCCUUCUCCUUCAAACUCUAUGCUAGAACACACCGCCAAGGAUGGCCCGGAUGAUGCGUCGCUCAAACACGUCCAGAGCAUUUGCAUCCUCCGCUCGAAUAGUCCAAGACUUGUAUCCAUAGAGGAACACCGGAUGAAUCAAUGUGCGAUAUAUCUCAGAUUUCGUGCGGGCUCAAAGUCUUUUGGAUGUCAGCAGUCGGUGAAGCCCAUAGUAUGCACGAUUCUCCUGCAUAAUGCGUCUCCGGAUUUCGCUGCUGAUGUCGUUGUCUGAAGUAACGACCGUCCCAAGAUAGCAGAACUCUUCUAUCAUUUCCAGGGUAGUCGCCAUCAACUAAUACACUACGUUCCAGUUGGGCCUUAUCACGGACUGAGUCUCCGCCAAGCAGAUACUUCGUCAUUGAUUCUCAAAUCCAAUUCUUGCUACUUCGCGUUUGAGUCGGGUGUACGCCUCACAAACAGUCGCUGUCGUCGAAUUACACCUUCCAGGGCGAUGAAGAGCAGACAGGAGAGUCCGCCACCAGUGCCUCAGACCCCUGUGAGAUUUGAACGAUUCCGACGUCUAGUUCGAUACUCUCACCUUGCACUGUACCCCGGUCAUGGUAGUGUUGGUCAUGAAUAUUUCGUUGAGAUUCAUUCAUAUGAAUUUUCAGUGAUGAGUGAUUCGAAUCUUGAGUCGCAUCUUCAAAGAUUCAUGAAUCUCUAAAGAUUCACGAAUCUUCAAAGAUUACGAAUUUGUAGCAAGGGUCGCAAGUCUGCAAAACAGGAUAUGGCACAGUAUCUUGUAGACGGCAUUGAGGACUGUGAUGGCACUAAAAUUCGAGAGUACCAGCCUGUAACCCUUUUUGUAGACUGAAUGAAUGACACCCAGCUUCCACUCCUCCGGUAGUUCCUCCUGCUCCCAGAUUUUCAUGAUCAGCUGAUGCAUUUCGAAAAAUCCUCCGGUCCCAUUUUGAAGAGCUCGGCCGCCAGUCCAUCACUGCCAGCAGACUUAUUACUUUGAAGCUGGUUGAUGGCGCUGGAAAUCUCAUCCAGAGAUGGCGAAGGCAUCUCGUCAUCUGCAUCAUUGAUGUCGCUGUUGUUGCUGCUAUCCUGCUGUUGCAGUGGUGGUUGCCUAUUCUGGUUGUUAUUCUGCCACUUGCACCAGCCUUGAAAGCCUGGCGUUUGCUUUUUGUUGUUACCUGUUUCUAUAAUGCAAUUUGAUUGAUCAUGAAAUGUAUGUUUGAAUUGUUUCUGAAAGUAGUGAAACGCCCUUUACAUCAUUAAGUUAAGAGUUGACUGGUCAAUACUAAAUUGUUAAAUUUUGCGUUGCGUAUUAAACAGACAUUCUCAGCUAAUAAAAAAAAA